rnacentral:lncRNA from 1 species
AAAUUAAUCCAGUGUAUCGUUAUUUGUCAGAGAGUUAAUUUUAUGUUUAGCAGAACACAUUAUAUUUUUACAUCCACCAAUCUAAAAACCUUAUAUAAGUCGAUUACUCAGUAAUCUAACCAUACAUAACUAUAUUUUAAAUAUUGUUUCUAUAUAAAGAAUGAUGAAUUUGUUCCGGGAUUGUGAAUCUUAUCUGGCUACAUAUACGUUGAUAUUACCGUAGACUAAACUCUCAUUAGCAUCUCUAACUCAUUGAUAUAUUCAUCUC